rnacentral:lncRNA from 1 species
ACCGAUAGAGACUGAUUAACUAAAAUACGAGAAGAAGAAUUUCUGAGCAGCAUAGCAAUCCACUGAAUCUAUCUCCUUGGGAAGCCAAGGUGCGAGAGCAACUUAAUUAGAAACGGCCAGGAAACUGAGUCAAACACUUUGGAUAUGUCUAGCUUGAGCAUGAGAGUAGCAUGGUUGUCCUGGUGCAGCUUCCUGAUGGUGGAUUGGACGAACAUAAAAUUGUCG